rnacentral:rRNA from 1 species
AACGAACGCUGGCGGCAGGCUUAACACAUGCAAGUCGAACGCCCCGCAAGGGGAGUGGCAGACGGGUGAGUAACGCGUGGGAAUCUACCCAGAUCUUCGGAACAACCCAGGGAAACUUGGGCUAUACCGGAAACGCCCUACGGGGGGAAGAUUUAUCGGUUCUGGAUGAGCCCGCGUUGGAUUAGCUAGUUGGUGGGGUAAUGGCCUAUCAAGGCGACGAUCCAUAGCUGGUCUGAGAGGAUGAUCAGCCACACUGGGACUGAGACACGGCCCAGACUCCUACGGGAGGCAGCAGUGGGGAAUAUUGGGCAAUGGGCGAAAGCCUGAUCCAGCCAUGCCGCGUGAGUGAUGAAGGCCUUAGGGUUGUAAAGCUCUUUCAGUAGGGAAGAUAAUGACGGUACCUACAGAAGAAGCCCCGGCUAACUUCGUGCCAGCAGCCGCCGUAACAC